rnacentral:rRNA from 1 species
UACCCGCAGCACAAGUGGUGGUCAUUAUUAUUGGGCCUAAAGCGUCCGUAGCUGGCCUGUUAGAUGCCUGGGUAAAUCGAUGCGCUCAACGCAUCGAACUCCGGGUAGACCGGCAGGCUUGGGACCGGGAGAGGCGUGAGCUACUCGAGGGGUAGGGGUAAAAGUCCUGUAAUCCCUUCGGGGGAGGACCAGUGGCGAAGGCGUCACGCUAGAACGGCUCCGACAGUGAGGGACGAAGCCCUGGGGCGCAAACCGG